CCGGGACCCUGGACGGUGGAGGUGGUGGAGGUGGGCCAAGCAGAGCUCCAGAGAACACCGCUGGACUGCGAUAUACCUUCCCCAGACCCCGCGACCUCCCUAUCCCUUAAUUUUGACAGGUCCUGAGAAGGAAGGUCCAGAGGAUCAGAGACAAGAAGAUAGAACAGAUGCCUGUUGGUGCCCACGCUGCCACUGGGUGGCUCUGAAACUUGGCUUUGCUGGGCUGACCCUUCUGGUCUUGAGCCUGACUGGACUCAGUGUCUCAGACCUUGGGCUGAAGGUCUUGCUGACAGCUCUGUGAAAGAUGCCAUUUUGCUGCUCAUUGAAUAUGAAGAAGUGGUGUAGAAGUAACCAUCUUAUUCAAUAAGAAACACAGAGCCAAUACAGAGAUGAAAGCCAAAAGGUCAGAGCAAUAGCUAAGAGCUAAAACCUUACCCUUCA